AUUCAGCGGCGGACGGGUGAGUAAUGCCUAGGAAUCUGCCUAGUAGUGGGGGACAACGUUUCGAAAGGAACGCUAAUACCGCAUACGUCCUACGGGAGAAAGUGGGGGAUCUUCGGACCUCACGCUAUUAGAUGAGCCUAGGUCGGAUUAGCUAGUUGGUAGGGUAAAGGCCUACCAAGGCGACGAUCCGUAACUGGUCUGAGAGGAUGAUCAGUCACACUGGAACUGAGACACGGUCCAGACUCCUACGGGAGGCAGCAGUGGGGAAUAUUGGACAAUGGGCGAAAGCCUGAUCCAGCCAUGCCGCGUGUGUGAAGAAGGCCUUCGGGUCGUAAAGCACUUUAAGUUGGGAGGAAGGGCUCAUAGCGAAUACCUGUGAGUUUUGACGUUACCAACAGAAUAAGCACCGGCUAACUUCGUGCCAGCAGCCGCGGUAAUACGAAGGGUGCAAGCGUUAAUCGGAAUUACUGGGCGUAAAGCGCGCGUAGGUGGCUUGAUAAGUUGGAUGUGAAAUCCCCGGGCUCAACCUGGGAACUGCAUCCAAACUGUCUGGCUAGAGUGCGGUAGAGGGUAG
rnacentral:rRNA from 1 species